GGAAUCUAAUUCCUAAUAGAAGAUUAUUUUGCUUCCUGUGUUUUAUGGGCUUUGAAACAUUAAAUCCCAUCUCAAUUUUCCUGCCCCAGCAGGGCAACUAUGCAUUUCUUGUGAAAAACUGUUCAAGGAUUCUACUUUGUUGUCGUACCUUGAAUGUUUGUGUCAUUUAAGUAGCAGCUUGCUAGAUCUUCACGUAGUGAGUUAGAGAACAACCUGCCAGCAGUUGAGAUCUUUAAUUUGAGUUGGAUAUAGAAGCUGGUUCAUCCUUGUUUGUGUCUUGUCCAACUUUCCUGUUUUUAUUGUCAUUUUUAAUUUCAUUAGGAUUGUGUUUACCCUUUGGUACAAAUUUAAUUGAAGUACUUGCAGUUGAAAUGCUGUUUACAUCUAAUUAAUGCCAUUUUUUUGGUUCCAAUUAAGUUUUGAUAUUUGCUUAUAUUCUGCUGGUAAAUUGCAUAAUAAAAUAUGUAAUCUUUCAUUUUGGAAAGAGUAAAUGAUAGCUAUAAUGAUCUUAUUAAGGGAGUACAUUUAUAUCUAUAUGCUUCUAUUUUUCAUCACAUACAAAGCUCAUGUAAUUAUGAACUAUGACAUAUUGAACAUAAAUUGCUUUGAGAUGAUAUAUGGAGCAAUCUAUUAUGGGUUUUGAUUCUGAGGCCUAUUGGGAGGGGAUGGAGGGAGGUAAGGUAUCCAAGUUCUUGGGUCUCUUAGAUUAAAUGCAGGUGGCGGGGGAGGUGAUAAUGAAGGAAUAUGAGGUAUCCAAGUCCUUGGAUCUCCUAGGUUAAAAGCUGGUGGAGGAGGUGGUUGGAAGAGAGAUGGGGUUGGUGGAAAGGGUGGGAGAGGAGGGAAUGGGAAGGGCAAAGAGGGAAGUGGUGGGAGGGGAGGGAAAGGUACUCUUGGAUAUGGUGUCAAGGGAGGGAAGGGUAGUCUUGGAUAUGGUGGCAAGGGAGGGAAGGGUAGUGUUGGAUAUGGUGGUAAACGAGGAAAAGGUAAUGGAGGCAAAGUAGGCCAAGGGAAACCAUAUGGUGGGAAGUAAGGGAGAAAGAACUUUGAAGAAUUGAAGGAACUUGGCAACUCUUGUCUGUGAUUUCCACACAAGGUAUCAUUUCUCUUGGCUGGCUUGUAGCUUAGCGAAUUCAAGCUGUAAAUGCAGUGAUUAUCUUGCUUCGACUUGACCGUUAUCUCAUUAGUUGUUGUCUUUAAUCCAGGAACAUCACAGCCAGAAGAUGAGCUCUUUAUUAAACUUGCAUGGCAUAAAGAUUCAAUUGCUGAACCAUCCACACAAUCGACCCCUUCAACUUGUGGUAUUUCCAGCUUGUAUAUCCCAUAUCUAUCUGUUGUUCGAUUAACUGAGAAGUUUAUCUGCUCUGCUGUUUUAGGUGAGUUUGCUUUGAAUGAGCAUUGUAUAUGAACAUCCACACCUGAAAUCAAUAACAGUUAAAAGAAUUCAGAGAUUUAUAUACAUGCAGCUACCUGGAAGACAUCCAUAUCAAACAAACAACCAUUAACCAUGGAUCAUAGACUCAAACAUUUACCGUUAGGCUAAUCCACAUGGGUUAUUACUUUCAGAAUUGAAAUUGAAUAACAAGAAAUGUGAAGAGUUGUUUACCUGGCAAGAAGUAGCUGUGUCUAGAGAAAGAAUUAGUGGAGCAGGUAUCACAAUAAACAACACCAACAACACUGAUUCUGGAGGUGGGAUUUACUGGUUGGGCAAGGAAAGAAAAUGGGUGAGCAAAAAAAGUUGCAAGAAAAAGAAGAAGAAGAAUGAUUGGAGUCAUGGAAGCAAACAUAGGAGAAGUAGGGAGAAGCUUCUACAAAAGCAUCAUCUGUAGUUUUGGUUGGUACUUGACUCCUUGGUGGUACUGUAUACGAGUGCAUAUGUUAGGAUUAUAUUAUUGUAGAGUACAAUAGAUCUUGAAUUGAGCAUAUAAUGAGCCCGUGAGUAGUUGGUAUUAGGACCAACUGUAACCAGGGUGCAGAAAAAUGCUUUAUCUAUUCACUACAAACAAAGACAUGUGAAGAAGCCUUUUGGAAGGUUGUGAAGAGAAAGAGCAUGCAACUCUGUAGAAGAUUGACAAGCGGUGGGGGUUUGAUUUGGAGGCUCUAUAAUUUUAAUUUUUCUGAGGUCCAAGAAAUGAAAAGGACAAGAUAGCUUGAUGGGGAAGAUUGGAAUUACUUGAUGUUCUGUACAAUUGAAUUUGAUGGCUGGUUUGCUUGCUAUCUGGCCCAUUAUUGAUGAGUGUUCCCUCAACACAUGUGGCUACAUUUUCAGCAAUUUAUGGCUACUAGUUGACAGUCACAAGGCUAUUCUUUAUCAUGCACUGUUCCCAUACCCAACAUUUGUUUGUUUCUUCAUCAUAUAGUCAAAACUCAAAACCCAUCUUGGGUUGCUAACUUCGCUUGAAAUUUAAGAGCCUGUGUACCUCAGGUUCAAAUAAUUAAAUCAUGAAUGAAGAAAUCUCAGAAGUGCUUUUAAGACUUAAAAUGCAAUCAGAAAAGACCUUAG
rnacentral:misc_RNA from 1 species